rnacentral:rRNA from 1 species
AGAGUUUGAUUCUGGCUCAGAACGAACGCUGGCGGCGUGGAUAAGACAUGCAAGUCGAACGGGAUCAUCUGGUAGUAAUACUAGGUGGUUCAGUGGCGAACGGGUGCGUAACACGUGGGUCACAUUCCGGGAAGUGAGGCAUAGCCCAGGGAAACUUGGAUUAAUUCUUCAUGUGGUCGCAAGACUAAAGGCGCAAGCCGCUUCCUGAUUGGCCCGCGGCCUAUCAGCUAGUUGGCGGGGUAAAAGCCCACCAAGGCGACGACGGGUAGCUGGUCUUAGAGGACGACCAGCCACACUGGAACUGAGACACGGUCCAGACACCUACGGGUGGCAGCAGUCGAGAAUCUUUCACAAUGGGGGCAACCCUGAUGGAGCGACGCCGCGUGGAGGAUAAGGUCUUCGGAUUGCAAACUCCUGUCAUGCGAGAACAAAGCCUUAUGGGUGUGAUAGUAUCGCAAGAGGAAGAGACGGCUAACUCUGUGCCAGCAGCCGCGGUAAUACAGAGGUCUCAAGCGUUGUUCGGAAUCACUGGGCGUAAAGGGUGUGUAGGCGGCGUGAAAAGUCAGAUGUGAAAUCUGGGGGCUCAACCCCCAAAUAGCAUCCGAUACUGUCAUGCUGGAGGUCUGUAGAGGAGUCUGGAAUUCUCGGUGUAGCAGUGAAAUGCGUAGAGAUCGAGAGGAACACUUGUUGCGAAAGCGAGACUCUGGGCAGAAACUGACGCUGAAACACGAAGGCCAGGGUAGCGAACGGGAUUAGAUACCCCGGUAGUCCUGGCAGUAAACGGUGCACGUUUGGUGUGGGAGGAAUCGACCCCUUCCGUGCCGGAGUUAACACGUUAAACGUGCCGCCUGGGAAGUACGGUCGCAAGAUUAAAACUCAAAGAAAUUGACGGGGACCCGCACAAGCGGUGGAGUAUGUGGCUUAAUUCGAUGCAACGCGAAGAACCUUACCUGGGCUUGACAUGCAUCUCUAAGGUGGUGAAAGCCAUCGACCCUAGCAAUAGGGAAUUUGCACAGGUGCUGCAUGGCUGUCGUCAGCUCGUGUCGUGAGAUGUUGGGUUAAGUCCCGCAACGAGCGCAACCCCUGUAGAUUGUUGCCACCGGAGAAAUCCGCGCACUCAAGCUAGACUGCCCAGUUUAACUGGGAGGAAGGUGGGGACGACGUCAAGUCCGUAUGGCCCUUACGCCCAGGGCUGCACACGUACUACAAUGCUCAGUACAAUAGGAACUAAGACCGCAAGGUGGAAGAAAUCCGUUAAAACUGGGCUCAGUUCAGAUUGCAGGCUGCAACUCGCCUGCAUGAAGUUGGAAUCGCUAGUAAUGGCGCAUCAGCUACGGCGCCGUGAAUACGUUCCCGGGUCUUGUACACACCGCCCGUCACAUCAUGGGAGCUGGUUGUGCCCAAAGUGCCCUCACGGGUCCAAAGGCGCGACUGGCGACUGGGAUGAAGUCGUAACAAGGUAGCCGUAGGGGGCCU